UCUCUCAGCUUAGAAUUCUUGAAUAAAAAAGUUAUCAUGUCACAUUUGCUGCGUACAGCUGUAGUACGUACGUGAAGAACAUGUGAAUUGAGAUAGGAAAAUAUCUCGUCAACGUCGUUAUGCUUGUUCGCUUGGCUUCUAUUAUAUUACUCCAAAACGAACUACUUGUUCAUGCAGCUGGUACCGGCAAUAAUAGGUGGCUUGCCAUCUGCCAACCACUCGCUGCUGCUGCUGAAUACAUGAAUGGCAUAUAGGAACAAUAAAUAUGAGAUAUACUUUUUUAUAAUAUACUUGUUAAGCAAUAUGAUAUUAAUAUUCUUUAUCGAUCUAUUUAGUUAGAUAUUAGUCAUUGCAAGAAGAAUGUACCUUGCAUUCAUGAUUCAGGGUGACCGAGAGAGAGGGGUAUUACUAGUAGGAAUGCAAUCAAUAAGUGCUGGACUAUACAGAACAUGUUAUAUUAUACUAAUGUUGACGAGUUAUUAGUCGAGUCAAGCUAUACAAAUGCAAUUCUCUUAUUUAUCUAUAAAAAAGCCUUUUUCUUUUCUUUUCUUUUCUUAUGUUUCUUUAACCUAUGGUCUACCUUUUGUUUGGUAAAUAGUGCCCACUGAUGACUCUGCUCUGCUGCUGAGCUCUUCCUCCUGCCCCUGCCCCUGCCCCUCCCCCCUCCUAGUGCUAUGUAUAAAGGAAGCAAAGCAAUCCAUGGAGACCCAACCAUCAAUCCCAUUUCCCUCCCAUCUAGGCAGUCAGCAGGCAGUAGGCAGUAGGCUGCAUCUCAAUCUCCAUCUACACGACUGCACUCCUGCUCCUACUCCUACAGGAAACACACAAGAAAAGAAAAGAAAAGAUGAUGGAGGUGGAGAGGCCGAUGUGGGAGCUCAAGGAGGAGGAGGAGGAGCCGCCGCAGCUGCUCAUGGAGGCCGAGGAGGAUGACUAUGAGGAGGAGGAAGACACCUCCGCCCUCCUAUACACUAGGGAGAGAGAGAGCAUGAGGAAGAAGAUGACGACAACGAUGGCGGACCUGGACCUGGAGAUGGAGUCCUCCGACUCCGACUCCAACGCAGCAGCAUCAGCAGCAGUAGAGGAGGAGGCGGCGGCG
rnacentral:lncRNA from 1 species